CCUAACUCUCCUCUCACUCCAUUAAAGUCAGUGGGGUUAUUGGUGUAAAACCCAUGUGAAAGGAGCAUGAAACCCAAUGGCACUGAAUAUACAAGAGGUCCUGAUGUGGGCUUGAUGCCCUGUUGAGCAUGCUCUGCAAACACAGAGAUGGAACAGGAUCCCUGCCCUGCCGAGAUUACAAUCUAAGAGUUCAAUCCUACAGAUACUUACAUUAUAUGUGUUUUUCCUUACCAGACAUGGGCUCUUCUGUUUCAAAUGUGGGGCAGAGGAUGUAACCCCGGAGAUUUGGCUUGGAUAACAAGACUGCAUUCUACAUCCAGUCCCUCUGCAUUACUGUAAACUGUAAACCAAGCUAUCAGGACCUCAGGAGAGAAAUAGAAACCAUGCAUUUAAAUUCUUCAGGAAGUGAUUGGUCUGGCUUGUAGCAGCUCCCUAUGCGGCGUCAUCUUGUGAUUAAGAAUCUAAGCUUCCUUUUAUAAAUCAUCAAGUGUUUCACUCUUAUGAUUGAAAAUGUAACCGUUAUAAU